rnacentral:rRNA from 1 species
GACGAACGCUGGCGGCGUGCUUAACACAUGCAAGUCGAACGGAAAGGCCCUGCUUUUGUGGGGUGCUCGAGUGGCGAACGGGUGAGUAACACGGGAGUAACCUGCCCUUGACUUUGGGAUAACUUCAGGAAACUGGGGCUAAUACCGGAGAGGAGCUGCUGCUGCAUGGUGGGGGUUGGAAAGUUUCGGCGGUUGGGGAUGGACGCGCGGCUUAUCAGCUUGUUGGUGGGGUAGUGGCUUACCAAGGCUUUGACGGGUAGCCGGCCUGAGAGGGUGACCGGCCACAUUGGGACUGAGAUACGGCCCAGACUCCUACGGGAGGCAGCAGUGGGGAAUAUUGCACAAUGGGCGGAAGCCUGAUGCAGCAACGCCGCGUGCGGGAUGACGGCCUUCGGGUUGUAAACCGCUUUCGCCUGUGACGAAGCGUGAGUGACGGUAAUGGGUAAAGAAGCACCGGCUAACUACGUG